rnacentral:tRNA from 2 species
GGCCCUAUCGUCUAGUGGUUAGGACGCGAGGUUCUCAUCCUCGAAACCGGGGUUCGAUUCCCCGUAGGGCCGCCA